CCCUCCACUGCCGGCUUCCUUUCAACCCAGCGGAGCUGCUUGUGAUUGGCUAUGAGUUGCUGUUGCCUAGUAACAGCGUUAUCGCCUCCCCUUUUGCCCUGUCACAAUAUUCGGCCUCUCUGACGAUGUGGUGCUGUGCCCUGUCCGAUGCUGCCUGGCUUGCUGAGUUCCUCCAGCUUUUGUGUGUUUUGCUUUGGAUUUCCAGCAUCUGCAGAUUUUCUCAUGUUCGCCAAUGUUCUGUUGGGGUUUUGCCUUGGCCACUUGGCUUCAUACUUAGUCACAGCAUUCAUCUAAGCAGCGAGCAAAGAGCUGAAUUCCAGGAGUGGGGUGAGAGAGAAUUCCCUUGACAUCAAGGCAGCAUUUAGUAAAGUGUGGCAUCAGGAAAAGCUGAAGUCAGUGGGAGUCGGACUAAAAACAUUCCAGUGGUUGGAGUCGUGGUUCACACAGAAGAAGACCGUGGGUGUUGGAGGUCAAUCAUCCCAGCACCAGAACAUCGCUGCAGAAGCUCCUCAGAACUCUGCCCUAGGUCCAACCAUCUCUAACAACUGCAUCGAUGAAUUGUCAUUCCAUUAUAGAGUCAGAAGUGGAGACAUUCACAGAUGAUUGCACAUUGUUCAAUUUCUUCUACAGCUCUUCAGCAGGUGAAAUCGCCUAUUCCCACAUGCAGCAGGACAAAGAAAACAUUCAUACAUGCAUGAGUUGAUGAAUGGCAGGUAACAUUUCUGUAACAGAAGGAGGAGCAGGCAGUGAACAAGAGAAAAGCGAACCCUACCUGUCAUUGAGAAGCGUUGUCUCUGAGUCCUCUACCAUGAAUAUCCCGGGGGCUACCACUGACCAGAAACUCAGCUGAACUGGCUAAAUAAGUAUUGUGGCUAUAAGGUUAGAGUUUGUGGCAAAUCACUCACCUCCUGAUGCUCCAGGACCUUCCAGCCAUCUGUGAAGUAGAGUUCAGAGUGUGACGAAAUACUCAACAGUGCCCACAACUCUCAAAAAAACUGGAACAUCAUCCAGAAUAAAACACGCCACUCAACCACCCUAAACACUAAUUUCUCUCAUUAAGAGCACAUAGUGGCUGCACUGUACUAUCUACAAAACCACCAGGUACCCACCCAGGCUACUGACAACAGGCCCUUCCCAAUCUGCAGUCCCCACCAUCGGGGUGGAUGAGUGCAGGCUCUCCUGCAAGACACACAGCAUCCAGAUUCAGCAAUAUAUUGUUGGUCCUUCAUCGGCAUUGGGCUUAGAUCCUGGUAUUUCCUCCUUAACACCUGUGUUAAAAAUGCACCCUCACCAGCUGGAAUGCAACAGUUUUCGAAGAUGGUCCCCUUCAUAAAUUCUCAAGGGGAAUUGGAGAUGGAUAACAAUUGCUGAUCAUGACUGUAACACCCAAAUCCCAAAAAUAAAAACAAAAAAACUUGUCUGUAAGUCUUGUUUAGCCAGAGUGUUGAGAGAAAUUUGAGAACAUUAAAAAAUGAAUCACAUGAGACAAAAAUGCUGAUAAGUGUGAGGUUCUACAUUUUGGUAGGAAUAAUCCAAAUAGGACAUACAUGGUAAAUGGUCAGGCAUUGAAGAAUGCAGUAGAACAGAGUGAUCUAGGAAUAAUGGUGCAUGGUUCCCUGAAGGUGGAAUCUCAUGUGGAUAGGGUGGUGAAGAAAGCUUUUGGUAUGUUGGCCUUUAUAAAUUAGAGCAUUGAGUAUAGGAGUUGGGAUGUAAUGUUAAAAUUGUACAAGGCAUUGGUAAGGCCGAAUUUGGAGUAUUGUGUACAGUUCUGGUCACCGAAUUAUAGGAAAGAUGUCAACAAAAUAGAGAGAGUACAGAGAAGAUUUACUAGAAUGUUACCUGGGUUUCAGCACCUAAGUUAUAGGGAAAGAUUGAACAAGUUAGGUCUUUAUUCUUUGGAGUGUAGAAGGUUAAUGGGGGACUUGAUAGUGGUAUUUAAAGUUAUGAGGGGGAUAGAUAGAGUUGACGUGGAUAGACUUUUUCCAUUGAGAGUAGGGGAGAUUCAAACAAGAGGACGUGAGAUGAGAGUUAGGGGGCAAAAGUUUAAGGGUAACACGAGGGGGAAUUUCUUUACUCAGAGAGUGGUAGCUGUAUGGAAUGAGCUUGCAGUAGAGGCAGGUUCGAUAUUAUCAUUUAAAGUAAAAUUGGAUAGGUAUAUGGACAGGAAAGAAAUGGAGGGUUAUGGGCGGAGUGCUGGUCAGUGGGACUAGGUGAGAGUAAGCGUUCGGCACAGACUAGAAGGGCCGAGAUGGCCUGUUUCCGUGCUGUAAUUGUUAUAUGGUUAUAAAAAUGUUGAUAUCUGUACAGGAGAUCUUCAAAACAUGGUGUAUUCAAAGUUCAAAGUAAAUCUAUUAUCUAAGUACAUAUAUGUCAUUAUGUACUACCCUGAGGUUAAAUUUCAUGCAGACAUUCACUGUGCGUGCAAAGAAACACAAUAGAAUCAAUGAAAAUUUACAUACAACGAAGAUGACAAUCAGUGUGCAAAACAUAACACAUUUUGCAAAUGUAAAAAGAGAAAAACAAGAUAAUAAAUAUCAAAGGCAUGAGUUGUACAGUCCUUGCAAGCGAGUCCAUUGAUUGUAGAAUCAAUCCAGUGUUGGGGUGAGUGAAGAUACUCCCUCUGGUUAAGGAGCCCGAUGGUUGAGGGGUAAUAACUAUUACUGAACCUGGAGGUGUGAGACCUGAGGCUCCUGUACCUGCCUCCUGAUGGCAGCAGUGGGAAGAGAUGGUAGGGGUCCUUGAUGGUGGAUGCUGCUUUCCUGCUACAGUGCUUCUUGUAGAUGUGUUCAAUGGUGCAGAGGGGCUUAUCAACACCUCCACCUACUAACUCGACCACUAUAUUUUUUCCCAUCAGUCACCUUAUGGACAGCUUGGUGCCACUAUAUAGACAUAGAAUUAAUCUACUGUAUGUAUGUAAACCAUCUCAUGCAUUUAUAUUUGUUGUGUUUUUAAUUUUAUUGUGUUCUUUAUCUUUCAUGAUCUUUUUGUGCUGCAUCAGAUCUGGAGUAACAAUUAUUUCGUUCUUCUUACACUUCUGUUCAGGAAAUUACAUUAAACAAUCAUGAAAUCUU